UCAGCAGCCCUGGAAUCUGAAAUCCUUUAUUUAUCCGACUAACAAGAAUAGCACAGACAGCAGCAGUUGGUUCUCCCCAACACUGUCUCCCAUGAGACUAACCUAGCCCUGACCUCUUGGGACGGGCAGGAGUGUAGCUCUGGCCACCGGAAUACUGAGGCUGGGACUUG
ensembl:misc_RNA